CGUUGAACUUAAGCGUAAAUUACAAAACGGUCACUGAAACUUAAAACUUUCAGUAACGGUCACUUCAGUUUCGGGACGCUUUCAAAAACGGUCAUUAAAGUUUAAAAACUUACAGAAAUGGUCCCUGAAGUUUAAAAAUACUUUUUCAAUUUUUUGGGAUACUUUUGCAACAAAUUUUUGGCCACUUCCGAUCAUCGAUACCGUCGAAUUUUGAUACCAUUGGAAAACUCAUAAUGUCCUUUUCAAUUAUUAUCCAAAAUCUCUCCAUAACUCUAGGGGAUUCAACCAGAAAAUCGCAGCAAAAUUCGCCCAAAAAAUCUAAAAAUCUGCCCAAAUUUUCAGAUUUGACAGAGAAAAUUAGCCCUCUUUCUCAUAUUUAUGGAAGACUAUCAAAUUAAAAGUGCAAUUUAAAGAUCUUGAUUUUUCAUAUUUAUGUUUCUUUGCCAAAAAAGUGAAGAAUAAAAAUGAUAGAAUAUAACAUGUUCAGAUUUGCGUUGCUCUUUGACAGAUCUUAUGUUUUUAAAAGCAUUAUAUAAACGAUCACAAGGAAAAACCGAUCAUAAUCCAGUGAUAAAUCUUGCCUGAAAAGAAGACACGACAGAGUGUAAUUGCUUCAUUAUAACACACAAAAGUAAAAUAGAUGUACCUUGAGGGGGCGAGAUUGGCACAUGCUCGCGAGGAGGAGAAAUAGAUGUACCUUGAGCGGGCGAGACAGGCACAUGCUCGUGAGCAGGAGAACUGAAAUUGAACGUGGAACUGAGAUCCGACGAAAUAGAAAUAGAACUUAACCUGGAACUGACAUCACUCGGGUCCAAGGAGGGGCCACGGGCAAUUUCCCGAUCCUUUUCUUUCCGUAGAACGGCUACAACCAACCUUUCCCAAUUGUCUCUACUCAUCGCCUAAUGUUGCUAUUUGGUUACAGCUUUUUGAUUUUUUAUUCUUUCACUUAAUUUAAGCUUAAGAAUCUGUAGAUAUUUCAGAUCUAGAAUAGGAUGAAAACUUGUGUAGUUUUCGUAUGCAGACAUGGAAAAUGACUUGGGAAGCUGGUGA
rnacentral:lncRNA from 1 species